CUGAGAUCCAGCAGGCUGACUUCACUGUAUGAAAAUGCUGAACCAAAACCAGGCAUAUCUAAAAACUGGUGUCAGAGAUUUGUCUGAAUCUGAAGCUGCCUUUGAACGCAACUCUGACUGAAUUCUAGGUAAUCUGCAAUCUUUGAAGCUGACCUUGGCUUCAUUGCAGCUGAACAGCCAGCAUUGCAUAAUGAGUGCAACGGAACUGAAUUUUAACUUGGCUUGCUCACAGAAGAAAACGGGUGUGAAAAAUAGAGGACAUGGGCAAGUCAUUUACUUUCUGCCUCAGUUUUCCCCAGAGAGAAACUACUUUCCUCUUACCCAUGUGAUGGAUUAAUAACUCGUGUAAAAAGGGCUUUGAAAGUUAAAAAUGCUUAAAAGCCAGCGAAAAUUGAUUAUUUGGCUGAUACUGGGCAGAAAAUUGCCAUCCUUUGCAGCUGGCUGGCACAAUGCAUAUGUGGAAAUACAUGGUUGUAAGAAAUAUAGAAGGUUGAGUCAAGGCAUGUAUCGAGGAAUCAAGCAUUUGAACGAUGCAAGAGUCCUGUGCUCACAUUCAGGUGACAUUGCAAACAAGAAGCGGGCAG